UCUCCUGGAACUACAGGAUCCAUCUCAGGGCCCCUCACACACUGCUCUUCCCCUCCAACCUGGGAGCUCCAGUGCCUCUCCGUUUCCUGAGGUUGGGGUGGUUAAAAAAGCUCUCUGCCCAAGCCCCUGAGUACUACCUUUCCAGCUCUCAUCCCUGUGGGGACCAGCACUGCCCUGGGGAAGGAGACUGAUGGGAACCAACAGGAAAUGCUACAGCUGAGGCUCCCGGCCCAUGAGCUGGCCAGUAUUGAGCUUCUGUGAUGGGUCAGGUCUCCACGGCCACAGAACUGAGGGAAUUGGACGCAGCCCUUGGAAUCAGGAACCUUGCUUCUACAGGUGUAGUGAAAUGGAAAGGAGUGUUUCCAAGUGAGUCAUGGCGUCUGAUUGGCAGGCCCAUCCAGGAACAACAGUGAGAGUACCAGUGAGAGUAGAGUGAAAGACACAGCCACGCCUUUGACUCCAUGGCAGGACACUAGUGGUGGAAUUCCACCUGGGGGGUAGGGGACGAGAUAUGCUUGGAGAGUUUCAAUGUCUGAAUAUGGGACGUGACAUUCACAGGUGUCCGUUUUUGUUCUACCUAACAAUUGUAUUUAAUUUGUGGUGCCCUACUUGUCAGCACUUCUCUAUGGACCCUGCUGGUCUUUGGUAGAUUUGUUUUCCUGGCUCCUGCCAGGAGGCCUUAAGUCCUCUUCAUGAUUACUCCUGUAAAAAUAUCUGGCUUCGCCCUAAGUCUCAGUGAGGGCCACAUCAGACCACUUCUAUGACAGGGGGAGAAGAUGGAACAAUCAAGGAAUUAUUUUUGUCUGUAUAGCGAAUCGGCUUAUCAACUGUGACUUGAUCAAUAAGGCAAUGGAGAUCCAAAUUAAUAGUCUCCACAGCCCCUGCCAAUAGCUGGAGGAAGUGUACUUUAGAAGGAAGAUAUAGCCUUUAGUAUAAAACCUAUAAUAGACAGGGACAUCACCCCUGAACCCAAUAGCAUAACAUGAAUUAAGACCCUUGGUUUGCAGAACAUCUUGAUCUGGAUCAAACUGAAAAGGAACUAUCUCAAUUUCUCACUAUAUGAAAAGCUGAUAUGAGGCUGGGCACAGUGGCUCACACUUGUAAUCCCAGCACUUUGGGAGACCGGGGCAGGAGGAUCACUUGAGCCCAGGAGUUCUAGACCUGGGCAACAUGGUAAGACCCUGUCUCUACAAAAUAGGUAAAUAAAUAAAUAUUAGAACAACCAGGAUGAAAUUUUUUAAAAAAGAAAAAAAAAUUAGCUGGCGUAUGGUGCACAUCUGUAGUCCCAACUACUCUGGAGGCUGAGGUGGGAGGAUUGGUGGGAGGUCGAGGCUGUAGUGAGCUGAGAUUGCGCCACUGCACGCCAGCCAGGGAGACAGAGUGAGACCCUGUCUCAAAAAAAUAAAUGAAUAAAUAAAAUGCUAAUAUGAGCUGGAGAGGCAAGAGGAAUAGAAGGUAAAAAGAACAACAAGGGAAAUACACUUUUUAAGUACAAUCAAUUAAAUAUUAAAUAUUUGGGAACAGUGAGCUCUGAACUGCUUGGGUAAAAUUCGCCCUGCCUGGUGGCCUUAAGCACUCCUGCAGGUGGGACCCGGCAUCCUAAUUCUACCAGGCCUCUUGUUGCUGCCGUAGAUGAGCCCCAGACUCGGCCUUCCAUUUUGUAUUGGAUGAUGACCACAUGUGCCCAGAUGUUCUCAGUGAGUAGAGUGGGUCAAGGAGUAAACUAUAUCGGAAACCGUUGGAUAAUCAUGCCAAGCAGGCUGGGGGCUUCCAGCCUUUGGGGUACUGGAAUGCUUUCUUCCCCUGGGACCAGCUGAACUAGCUCUGUAGUUGCCGGGAGAGCAGUGUGCUCUAACACUUGGGCUAGUCCGUUCCCACAGGAAAACUAGAAGAGUCACAAGCAAAGAGUAUAAAAGCCCAAGAUAUUUCUUUAGUCUUUGUAUUUAGCUCUAUGUCAUCAAUUUUUUUUUUUACAGGGUCUCACUCCUGUCGCCCAGGCUGGAGUGCAGUGGUGUGAUUAUGGUUCACUGCAGCCUUGACUUCCCAGGCUUAAAUGAUCCUCCCACCUCAGCCUCCUGAGUAGCUGGGAUUACAGGUGCACGCCACCACACCUGUCUAAUUUUUUCUAUUUUUUGUAGAGACAGGGUCUCCCUGUGUUGCCCAGGCUGGUCUUGAAGUCCUGGGCUCAAGCGAUCUACCUGCCUUGGCCUCCCAAAGUGCUAGGAUUAUUGCUACUUUCCAAUAUUUCUACUACAGACUACGGGAAGUCCAUUUUUCAAUGCCAAAUGCAGAAGAAAAAGUUGUAUGGAUGCCCUUUCUGCCAAUCAUCCCAGGUUUAGGAGAGAAGAAUGAUGAGGUCAUGUUCAUGGAACUUGACGAGUGAUA
rnacentral:lncRNA from 1 species